UUGCCACUUAACGAUUCUGAAACGGUCAGGCUGUGAGCAGGGCAUCUGAGGCUGAGACUAACCUUCAUUCAUAUGAUCGGUAGCUGUCGUACGAUAGGAGAGAGACGUCUGGCGACUGACUAAAUUGUUUAACAAUUAUCACGGUGUGACAACGUAUAUUAGCACGUGCAAGCUUUCCCAAUAGUUUCUUAUAUUGUGCAACGUGUCGAUGCAUGAAGGACAUGUUCAUACGGUGAAUCGUAGCUCACCAACUGUGUCUGUUUUAGCAUUUAACUUGAUGUUCUGAACCUCCUCCUCUGAAAUGAAUAUUUGAUUAGCGCGUAGAAUUCAGUUAAUUCUUGUCUAUGCUAGCGAUGAUGAGACUUGGUCUGAUGCAAAUGCACCCGGGUCCUGUACUGUUUUAUUUUUACAGUGAUGUCAAACAUAAUAAUUGAAUAACUGGACUGGUGUGUAUGUGCAUUUUGUUUUUUGUUUUGUUUUUUGAAUGAUUUGAUCAGAUUGGGGAACGUAUUGUAGCUCUUUCGGUUUGGGUUUUCUUUUCAUUAGCCGGCGUUUCUGCGCACUCGGCGUUCCUGUGUAGUGAAAACGUUUCACUAGUGAGUCUUAGUACGUAGUGCAGAAUAAUAUCAUUAUCGGUGUCAUUUUUAAAUCUGUAUGUAACUAGUCAUGUGAUCGUUUAAAAGAAAGAGCUUACCUUUGUAAGAGAAUCGCGUUUGUUUUAUUUUUAUAGUACUAAAACUGUAUGUUUUUUUUUUUUUUUUGUAUCUAUAUGCAGUGACACUGUUUAUUUUAUCUCAAGCUCCUUAAACCAGCUGAUUAUCAAAAAUGUUGCCAAACUAACACUCUGGACUGAAACUUGAAGCACAGAGGAAUAUGAUUUUCACAGUGCUCAACAAAGAAAGAAUAUUCACCUCUUUACAGUGAUUGCACAGUACAAACGCAGGUUUAAAGGGUUAUUCCUUACCCACCCAGUGUAAUACAUUCUGCCUGAACCACCUUCCCUAAAGCAUGCUGUAGUGCCCUUUAGGAAAAUAUGACUCUAUACACACACCCUGCUCCAACUAAAGGUGUAUUACAAACUCUUUUGAUAGAAGUGUUUGAUAGAAGAGUUCAACACGUAACGGUGGAGAAAACGUUCCAGUGUAUAACUUUGAGGGGACAGGAGUACUCAUACAAAGGAGAGGAAUUCGAAAACCGAGCAUAGUCUAACCAGCAGCUAGCUAAUAUAAAUAAUAGCUUUUUUUGUUUGUUUGUUUUUUGUGAGAUGGUAGCCUAGCAUAAAUCAUCAUCUGAGACUGACAGGGGACACAGGGACACUAAAUGUGUGGGGAAAACCCUUCACGUGAUGAAAUUUUGUCUACUAUAUGUACAGUUGUGGUCAUGAAUUGACACAUGCCACAAAUAACAAUUGACACCCUGUUCAAACAAGAUCACAAAACAUAAAAACAGCCGUCGAUCAUCCAGGUAACGACACACAGUAUUAAGAAUCGAGCGUGUGUAAACUUUUAAACUGGUUCGUUUGUGUAAAUUCAGUUGUUAUUGUGUCUUGUGGACUCCAUGUAAACAUCUGUUAUGUGAAAUAGCUUAUUCAGGGCAGGACUAUUUUUAUUUCUUUUUUUUUAUUUUAUGAUUAACAUUUUGCAGAUCCUGCAAGGCGUAUGUAAACUUAUGACCUCAACUGUAGAUUAGACUACUGUCUAUAUAUAUAUAUAUAUAUAGCAUAAAGUGUAAACAAACCGUGUAGUAGUUAACUCGUGAGAAAAUGAAUUAUUAGUUAGACCGGGAACCGAGAUGUUUCUGUAAACUUCCAAAGGGGUCCACUGACCUGUAAAAGUGAAUGAUCGACUCCUACUAACAUGUAGCUGUGAAAUUAUUAGUCAUUUUAAUACAUGCUGAUUUAUAACCGGAAAUGUCACACGCCCUAAAGUUGCAUGAUCGCUGCAGAAAUCUCCCAGUAAAGAUUUAAAGAUAUUGUAACACAUGUUGUACUCCUGCUUUGAAUUUCUGAGCUGCUCAUCUGUGUGUUAUUCAUUUCCACUAUAAAUACAGCUGAUUUUCUUUUCUUUUUUUUUUUUUUUUUGUGGGUUCGCCAAGUAAUAAUGCACACUAUAUCGUAUUUGGACGUAUUUGGAUUUUUUUUUUUCUAUCCAAGCUCCUUGCUGUUGUAAAGAGACCUUUUAUUUCCGAACGGAAUGCAUCAUCGUGCAUGUUCAUGUUCCAGCACUUUACAGUGUCACUUUGAUGAUGUUUAAUAGCAUCGUGUACAGCAUUACGACCCCACUCACUCUCUACUACUCAAACGAACUGCAGAAAAAAAAUAACAAUUAAAAAAAAAAAAAAAAGGAAAAAAAAUGAAGGUGUCCACUACUGUACUGUCCACUACUGUCACGUCCUGGUGAAGUUACUGUGAUGGCAGGGAAACUGAAAAUGAGCUCAGAACUUUCUAUCAAACAUAUCUAACCAUGUCUUUGGAAUCUUAGGGCCAAAUUGCAUCAAACAUUGUCUUAGUCGCGUCAGCUGUGUAUCUUAAAUGGUUCAAUUUCAAAUGGUAAAAUAAAGUUUAUUUUAAAGAUCAACUGUCUGUGUGCCUUUUAUGGAAUACCUGAGCUGUUUACUUGCAUUGCAUGUAUGAAAUAAACGUGUAAACAUGUGUCAUUAGUCUUACUAUAUAGUUUGGAAUGUAAAUGAUAUGUCUAGAUCAUGCAUGUUUAUCUCAGGUGCGUUUAGGUGGCACUGAGCAGGUUUCCUGUUUGAUUAGGUGCCAGGCGUCUGCCCACUCGCUGCCCCCUACUGCUGGCUCUCUGCCCUGCCGGUGGGGCAGGUAUCAGUGGUGUUGGGGCAGCCCCGAAAUGCCCAGCCAGUGCCCCAUCUUUAAGUCUACAGGUUGCAGAUCCUACAAAUGCAAUUUUCGACUCACUCGGAGAACUCUGUAUAGCGGCUGAAGAAGCAGAGCUAAUCUGCGGCAUAUGGGAGUUCUCCAAAUCUAGUUCCUGAAGCUGUGAAGGAUACGGGGAUGACCCUGGAAGCUGCAUAGCCUUAAGAGAAAUUCUGUGCCUGGUUUGGCCCAAGAAAUUAGGUCUGUUAUCA
ensembl:lncRNA